rnacentral:lncRNA from 1 species
GUUUUAGAGAAAGUUCAAGAUACCCUCAGGUGAUGUACACUGUCCUUUGUGGAUUUCCUGGAACCCAAACAAAUCAUCAGCUCCAACUGCCAUAUUGCAACACUUUGACAAAGCCAAAGGCUUGAACUUCCAAAGUCAGGUCAGAGAAGAAGACAGCCUUUCUCUUGCAACACAAUAAUGCCAGGUCCCACACCAGUUUGAAGACUGUGGAGCACAUUGAAGAUGACGGCCAGGAAAGAUGUGGAGACCCAGACAGAGAUCCCCAGCACACGUAGGAGGAAGGCUGCUGCCAGGAUGAGUGUGGAGACCCAGACUGAGGUCCCCAAGCAGCAUGCUAGCGUGCAAGUCGAAGGCUGCAGUGAGUGUCAGAGUCUGGCCCUUGAAGUGCCAGUUGAUGGAAGCCAUGCCUGUGUCAGGUGUGACCAGAUAAAUGAUUUGCUUAGUAUGGUGGUCUGCCUGAAGGAAGAGGUGGAGAGGUUGAGGUCCAUUAAGGACUGUGAAAUUGAAAUUGAUGGGUGGUGCCAGGCCCUAUCGGCCCUGGGAUCCAGGCACGCAGCUGAGGCUCCCCAAGGAGCAUGUUGCCCCCAGUCGCCUUGCGAACAGGCGAUAGAAAGGAGUGUGCAGAUGGACUGUGCUCCUGCUGCACUGAGCCCUCAGUCCUCCCUUACCCCUACCAAUACAAAUGUAGAGGUAGGGGGUGUGGGACUGUCGGCAGAGCCUCUAUCCUGCAGUUGCCAAUCAGACCAAAGUAGUCUGAGAGAAAAGGAUGGGUGGAAACAGGUACCGGUGGCUCGGCGAAGUGGGCGUCCCCCCCCACGACCAUGCUCGGCUCCCCAGGUGCCUCUGCAAAAUAGGUUUGGGGCCCUGGAACCCGAGGGAGAGGUGAAUGCGGAUGUGGAGGCAGCCCCACCUGUAAGGGUGCCUUGGGGGAAGCGGUCACACCCGCUCCUCAAAUCUUCUUCCACACGGAAGGAUAGAAGGGUAGUCGUCAUAGGUGACUCCCUUCUGCAAGGAAUGGAAGGUCCCAUAUGACGGCCGGACCCUACCCGCAGGGAGGUGUGCUCCCUCCCCGGGGCAUGGGUCAGGGACAUUACUGGGAGACUUUGC